AUCUCUUGUAAAUAUAGUGCUGGGCAGUUUAACAUCAGCAGGCUAUUUUUACCUGAAGAGGUGACAUCUACAUUCGCUCAUGGGAGACAAGAGUGAAACAUCGGCAUGAAUUAGCAAAGGAUGGAGCUAAUCCAUGUACAAAGCACUGAGAAAAUCUGACUGCUGUCUAAACAGGUGGACACUGAGCCAGAGUUAGUGUAACUGGAAAUGGUGCAGUUUCCUGUACUUGCUGGAGGUAACCAUCUCAGAAUAACAGAGCUAUUGCUCCUCUCCUGGGCUAUAGGUCGACCUGGGGCUGCUGGUACGCCUGAAAAUGUGGAGAAAAUCAACAUAACAGGUGGAAUCUUAUAGGGGCCUGAAUGAUGUUGGUUAAAGUAGGAUUUCCUGAGACGUCUAGCAAAAUGGACCUUGGCAUGGGAGCAACUCACUGCAUCUUUUAUGUAUUUGUUGAGCAGCGAGGUAGAUUUCUUGCUGGACAGAGCUGGCAGCAAGUGACUGGGAAUAGCUGUGACUGACAGCAAAAGGCGUGACUUAACCCCUGGCAUCACAAAUAACAUUAUGAAAACACUGGGGAACACAGGGCCUGGCGUCAGAGAGACAGGAACUGAAGGAAAUCAGUUUGGUAAACACGGACACUGAAUCACCGCAUUCAGCAGAUGUUAGAAGGAGCUGCAGUAAUCAUCGUCUACUCUCUCCAGUCUGCUGUACUAAGUAAUGGCAAAAGCACUUCGCAGCCAAGGGUGGAGCCAAACCGGGACUGCUGCAGAGAGCUCCGAUUAGCAAACCAAUGUAAACAGUGAGUGAUACAAGCAACUCCGAACAGACACACCUGUGAGCUGAAUCAAUCACUGCACUGCACUUAUCACUGAUUCAUGAUCACAGUUCAACAUAAUCCACUACUUUUUACAAUAUUUAACCAAACGCAGUUGAUUCACCAACCUAACAUUGAGAUCGUGACAGAAUGAAACAUAAAUGCAAUACGCCUCUAUGUUCGAUUCACCACAGACACAUGUAAAUCUGCUGAGCUACGGACAGUUUGUAUCUAUCCAAGGUCAUCACUGAAUUUAUAAAAGUGGUCAGAAAGGCAAACAGAAUUCAGUUCUGCACUUUUGUUUUCCAAUUUCCCAGCUACUUUAUAGCCAGCCUUGAACUCAAAAAUGUUACAGCUCAGUUCAAAAUCAUUCCACUCAGCUGAGCGAUCACAGAAGCAAAAGGCGAUUUUAUGCCUUGGCAAUGUCGACUAUGAUAGCACACCUGAAUGUGUCUGACCUUAGAAGGAAACUUUUUGUGGGCCUAGCAUUAUUCUGUCCAAAUAUUUGUGGCCUGUAAAAUGUGCUGAACUAGCUUGCAUAUAAAUUUUCUAGACCCACCACAUUGUUGGGUGAGAGCAGGAAAAGUUGACAUAUUGUUCGGAAAGAAAACAGAUAUUCCAAAAUGGUUCAAUGCAGAAAUC